rnacentral:rRNA from 1 species
AUUGAACGCUGGCGGCAUGCCUUACACAUGCAAGUCGAACGGUAACAGGUCUUCGGAUGCUGACGAGUGGCGAACGGGUGAGUAAUACAUCGGAACGUGCCUAGUAGUGGGGGAUAACUACUCGAAAGAGUGGCUAAUACCGCAUGAGAUCUACGGAUGAAAGCAGGGGAUCGCAAGACCUUGUGCUACUAGAGCGGCCGAUGGCAGAUUAGGUAGUUGGUGGGAUAAAAGCUUACCAAGCCGACGAUCUGUAGCUGGGCUGAGAGGACGAUCAGCCACACUGGGACUGAGACACGGCCCAGACUCCUACGGGAGGCAGCAGUGUGGAAUGUUGGACAAUGGGCGAAAGCCUGAUCCAGCAAUGCCGCGUGCAGGAUGAAGGCCUUCGGGUUGUAAACUGCUUUUGUACGGAACGAAAAGCCCCGGGUUAAUACCCUGGGGUCAUGACGGUACCGUAAGAAUAAGCACCGGCUAACUACGUGCCAGCAGCCGCAGUAA